rnacentral:rRNA from 1 species
UGGGGAAUUUUGGGCAAUGGGCGAAAGCCUGACCCAGCAACGCCGCGUGAAGGAUGAAGUAUUUCGGUAUGUAAACUUCGUAAGAAUAGGAAGAAUAAAUGACGGUACUAUUUGUAAGGUCCGGCUAACUACGUGCCAGCAGCCGCGGUAAUACGUAGGGACCAAGCGUUGUUCGGAUUUACUGGGCGUAAAGGGCGCGUAGGCGGUGUGUCAAGUCAGUUGUGAAAUCUCCGAGCUUAACUCGGAACGGUCAACUGAUACUGUCACACUAGAGUACAGAAGGGGCAAUCGGAAUUCUUGGUGUAGCGGUGAAAUGCGUAGAUAUCAAGAGGAACACCUGAGGCGAAGGCGGGUUGCUGGGCUGAUACUGACGCUG